AUUGGUUUCUCUCGGAUCGUAGCCAGCUAUUCUGUUGUAUAUAUAUAUAUAUAUAUAUAUAUAUAUAUAUAUAUAUAUAUAUAUAUAUAUAUAUAUACAACAGAAUAGCUGGCUACGAUCCGAGAGAAACCAAU